AUGUCGUGCUAAGUGUCUUUUGGUGAAUGAAUAACUGCCUAGUCGUACCGCGAAUAAGAAUCUAAUUCCAGUUGCGACUUGUUCGUUUAUAGAAGCAGCAUAUAGUGACGUUACGUAACAGUGAAUUAUUUUGUAAUGGUUAAGUAUUGUUGAAUGAAGUAGAAAAUUACUCCGAAUUAUUUAGAUUUAAUGCAGUGUUGGUGAAUUUCCUGCUUCUGCUGUUUUGAUAGUAUUUCUAAAUAAUACUGUAUUGGUGACGAGGAUGAUGAAGGGUCGGGGUCUAUUGUUGCUUGAAAAGGCAUUGGAAGCAACGGCAAUCGAGGCUGCGUCAACCA